rnacentral:lncRNA from 1 species
CCUGCCUCCACAGCCUAUUAUGACAGGCUAUCAACUGUGGCCUGGGCAGCCACAGUUAGGCCUGAACUGCAUUGUCUAUAUGGAAGAGGAGGACUGAGGUCAGACAUCAAGGUCAAGACGGGAAAGGGAGUGAGGAGAACCCUUGACACUCUAGAAAUGGGGAGACUAAAGCUGAAAAAAGGAUACAUGAUGGACAAUGAUGCCUGGAUUAACCCAAAUAGGGAUUUCAGACAGAGAUUACACGGGUAUCCACCGCCUCCACCCCCACCCCCACGACCUACACAGCCGCAUACGGUCUCGGGCCAACCCCGGCUUCUUCAAUGCUCAGUGGUAAACCUGAACCCCUUUGAGGAGAGGAACACCAUCUUGGAGUUAGAGCAGGCCAACCAAAAACUGAAGGAUAUGAACCAGGAGCUGAGGGAGCAGCUCGAAGACAUCAUGGAGCCAAGGGAGAUGAGGCAUGACUUUAUGUGCCCCAACCAUCAGCAGCAAUUACAGAUCCUGUCUUGGGUGUGGGAUGGCAUGAGUGAAGUUCACAUGUCCUUGACUGACCAGACUGAAGGACUUCUGAAUCUCAAAAAAGAUAUUGGAGAUGUGUUAAAGGAGGUGGAAGACAUACGAAUGGAAAUUCUUCGGGACAAGGCCCGGUACCACACUCUGACCAGGAAAGGCUUGCUUAUGCAGAAGAAGAAGCCGUCUCAGCCGCCCCCCCAGAUGUCCAGAUGACCAGAUGUCCAGG